GGGGCGGUGUCGGACUUCGGGGUGGGGGCGGGGCGAGGACUCAGUGGGCGGGAACAGAGCUGCAAGGGGUGGGCCCUAGCUCGAGAGUGUCCUCCCAGGGCGUGGCCUGUUCUUAGAGAGCGGGCCCCAAGGGAGGUGUAAUGCUGGACUCGUGGCCAAGAUGAUCCGAGAAGCUCGAGUGCAAUUGCUUAGAGAGGCUUGGGGGGGAACCUGGGGGGGUGAGUGAAUUGGGCAGGUCCACGGUGUGCUAGGGGUCUGCGUCUGACUGCUGGUCGGAUACGUGCCUUGGGGUGCUCUGGGUCGUGACCCGCCGGCGGCUCACCCACCGCUCCCGGCUGUACGUCCCUUUGCUCCACAUGCCCACUUGGUUUAGGUAGCUCAGCGUGCCUGGGGGCGGGGGCUAGGUGGGCCGUUGGACUCGGAACCCCGCCCUAGGCCCCGCCCCGUCCCUCGAGGCACACAUGCCCCUCGGGUCCGCCCCAUGCGACCCCGGGCCCUGCCUCGUCUUCUGCCUCGGCUCCGCCCCCUGCCCAGGCCACGCCCCUCUCUCCCGAGGCCCCGCCCUCACCGGCCCACAGCAUCAGGGCGGCAGCGCCCCAGCACAGGUAGGUGGUCACCAGGUAGGAUACCUGUGGCCUCGGGCGCAGUGUCUCGCAGUUGACUACAAAGAGCGUGAGGCUGAGGACAAUCAGGAACCCUGCACUGGGGUGGGGCCAGAGACGGACACGAGGCUGGACAGGGACCCCGGGACUCGCAGAAAGAGAAGAGACAGAGACAUCCUCUCCCCGCCUCCAUGACAAACACACACACACACACACACACACACACACACACACACACGAUAGACUAAAAUGAUACCAGCAAAGAGGCGGAAAGAAGAGGGAAACAUGGCAAAGUGAGAGACACCCCUCACACCCCGACUGAGAAAGAUAAAGUAGAACAGAUGCACCAGGGAGAGGUGGAGCAGAGAUCCCAAGAGACAUUCAAAGACGGAGACCCAGCAGCCAGCAGGACAGAAACUCUGAGAUACACCUCCCCAAAGCUGGAAAGAGAGCCCCGGGGAGAGAUGCUGAGGGGGGAGGGCACCCCUUCCCCCAAGCCGACACUUACCAACGCUGAAGCUGAGGGAACUGAAGACAAGGUCGAUCUUGUUAAGGCGGCGGAAGACUGGCCAGAAGGAGAUGCCCAUGGUGAGGAGGAGGACCAGACACAGCAUCAGGGCCAGCAUCAUGCAGCCCAUGCUCAUGUGGAUGAGAACUGGGGGGCAAAGGGCGGGGGGGAGGAUGCCCCGGAGUCAUCCCCAGACGCUCUCCAAGGUCACCCUCCAAACUCAUCCGCUUGACACCCACGAGCAGCAUCCCAAACAGACACCCCCAAAGUUUAGCCACAGACAUCCUCAAAAUCAGCUCCACUUGCAUUUCCAAAGUCACCUCCUAGAAACCCCAAAAUGACUCCUCUCACUCACAAAUCAUCCCCAAGUCCCCGUAAAGUCUGUUCAAAGUCAUCCCCACUCACACCCUCAGAGCUGUCUCAAAUCGCACCCACCUUACUCCACAGUCAGCCCCGAGAGAACGUCAUAAUCAACCCCACCCACACCCCCAAGGCCACCCCACAGAUGACCCUGAGUCACUCCACAGAAGCAUCUCAACCAUUUCUAGAGUCACCUCCACGUACAGCUCCAAAAUCACCCCACUCAUAAUUCCAAAAGAUGUCCCACAGCCACUCACAUUCGUACCCUCAGUGUCACCCCUGGACACUCCCAAUAGCACCCUCAAAGUUACCCAAGACACCUUAGUCAUCUCCAGACACCCUACUUCUGCUAAAGUCUCUGCCACUCCCACCCUAAGGUCCCCUGGUCACCCCAUUCACAGCCCCAGAAGUUCCCUGGGUAGCGCAGUGGCAUCCCCAUUCACACCCCAGAGCCCCCCACAUUCUCUGAAUCACCCCCGUCGUCCCCCAGAGCGCACACACACACGUAUACACAAGGAAAACCUCCAAUCAAAUACUCUAAUGCCAACGUACCUAAAAGAUGCAAUCACACUCCGUUUACAACGGAUAUUUAUCCAAUUUACGUUUCAGUAUGUCAAGAGCUUCAGCCCCUCCUGAGAAUUACGUCUCCUCCUUUUGGCUCUUCCUAUUGAGUCUGCUUUUCAACAAUGCAAGACUGUUUGAGCCAAAUGAGCUAAGACUCCCUCUGCUUCGUUUCUGGCAAACUGCAUGUCUCUAACACCUAACCAGAAAGCGGGAGGUUAGUAAUAGAGACAGAAUGACCAUAGCGCUCUCGGGGUCAAUCACACUGUCUUGAUUAAGGGCUUCUCAAGACACACCCUGCCCUCUGGGACCACAGAGGUACUCAUGUGACUCCGGCUGAGCCAAUCACUGUGCCCCAUGCCCCAGCCAUGGUGAUUAGCCCAAAGAGGGUCACAUGACCAAAGCCCACCAAUCAGGCUCUGCCCUGGGACUUAUUUCUGACUAAAGCUGUCAGGGAUGAGCUCUCGCUCCUCCAAUCAAGAAGAUAAGGAGCCUGCAACUGCCUGAGCCUUGGAUCCAGCCUCAUAAGGGAAGGAGCUCUGAGAGAGCAAAACUAAGAAGGGAAGGCAGACCAGAAAAAGAGAGAAAGAGAGCUGAGAUGACACUCAAGUUCCUGGCUCUUGUCGUCCCACAGACCGGGCCACUCUGUGCUUUGGUCAGCAGUCCAUAUUUGCAGCUUACCUUACCAACAUGCAUUUCACCCUCCCGCCCGUUCCCUACUCUGCCCCAGUUACAAGCUAAUCAAUCAGUACAUUGCAAUGCUCUAGCCACCAGGCUUGGUUUGGGGUACCCGUGUGACCCAGCCACACAGGACUUUGCAGAAAAUUUUCAUGCUCUUUUUCCUGCCCGACUUGAGGCCCAAGGUUAGGAGUUCGGCCGGUCGUUGUCUGCUCUCAGAUCCAUUCCCUGUCCUUCCCUAGUCUGUAUUGCAAGAACUACAUUUCCCAGCCUCCUUUGCUUCCUGGCUUAUCACUACGUUAGGCUAAUGGGAAGCACUGGGAGAAGACUGGCUCUGGGAGGAGGGGACAAGCCAGGGUAUUUAUCUCCCUCUCUCUGCUUCAGUGGGUGUCUUCAGGAGUAGCUGUAUUUCUUCGGUGAAUGUAGCCACCUCUAAGCAAAUCCCACCAUGAGUCAGUGCCUUCCAGAUGGCUCCAGCUUCUGGGUUCUGGUCAUACCACGUCCUCCCUUUGUCCUUCUCGCCUAGGGACUAGCAGCUUGCUGAGUUGCUAACCCCUGCCUUGCCUCAUCAUUCCCUACUUGGCUUCUCAGCUCUUCUGUGACCCGUGAAACCAGUUCCCUACGUUUACUACCCUCUGAAGCAUCUAGAAUGAUUUCUUCUCCUAGCUGGAUCCUGACUUGCCACUACAUGGAGCCUUGAGAAUGAAACCAAUUCAAGUAGCCAAGAAACAGACAGACCGAAAUGUCUGAUGCUAUCACUUGGACUCCUGGGUUCAGCCAUGCCUGAAAGCACUCCUACCCCAACCCUUUUUCACUGAGGCGAGCCCGUAAAUUCCUUCACCCAAGCUAGUUCAAGUUAGAGUCUCUGUCAUUGUGACCCAAAAACUCCUAAUUCAAGGUAUUCCAUAGGUUGGCAAGGAACACAGGGGUCAAUGCUGCCUGCGUACCAGCCACCAAAAUCACAGUCAAACCCUAAAACACACACACACACACAGCCAGAAUUCAAUAUUCACCAAAAAUCUAGAGCGAGGAGAACUCCCCAAAGCUGAGAAGCAAUUGGUAAGGUCACAGAGGCAAAGGUGGAGAAAUUAGACUACAUAAAAAUUCUAAAUUUCUUCACCUUAUUAAAAAAAAACUUUCAUAACUUACAUGUUACAUCUUUAUGCCAGCCAUAAAGCUUUGCACAGUCCUAGCAUUCAAUAAAUGGUGAUUUACUUUAAAAAGAGACUACAAUACUGCCAUUUGUGUUUUUGUUUUUUGGGUUUUUUGUGUGUGUUUGUGACGAAGAUUGGCCCUGAGCUAACCUCUGUUGCCUGUCUUCCUCUUUUUGCUUGAGGAAGAUCGUUGCUGAGCUAACAUCUGUGCCAAUCUUCCUCUAUUUUGUAUGUGAGUUGCUGCCACAGCAUGGCUUGAUGAGUGGUGCAUAUGUCCACACCCAGGAUCCAAACCCGCGAACCCUGGGCCACUGAAGUGGAGCGCACAAACUUAACCAUUAUGCUUCUCGGCCAGACCCCUAUGUGUGUUUUUAAAAUGGUAAAUAAAUAAACAUAUAUACAUAUACA
rnacentral:lncRNA from 1 species